rnacentral:misc_RNA from 1 species
AGCAGCCGCGGUAAUUCCAGCUCCAAUAGCGUAUAUUAAAGUUGCUGCAGUUAAAAGCUCGUAGUUGAAUUUCGGGACUAAUAUGUCGGUCGUGCCUCGGUACGUACUGGCUUAUUGGUUUCUCCUUUCUGAAGAACCAUGAUGUCAUUUAUUUGGUGUCGUGGGGAAUCAGGACUGUUACUUUGAAAAAUUAGAGUGUUUAAAGCAGGCUCACGCUUGAAUACAUUAGCAUGGAAUAAUGAAAUAGGACGUUUGAUUCUAUUUUGUUGGUUUCUAGGAUCGACGUAAUGAUUAAUAGGGAUAGUUGGGGGCAUUAGUAUUCAAUUGUCAGAGGUGAAAUUCUUGGAUUUAUUGAAGACUAACUACUGCGAAAGCAUUUGCCAAGGAUGUUUUCAUUAAUCAAGAACGAAAGUUAGGGAUCGAAGACGAUCAGAUACCGUCGUAGUCUUAACCAUAAACUAUGCCGACUAGGGAUCGGAUGAUGUUAAUUUUUAAUGACUCAUUCGGCGCCUUACGGGAA